GACGUAGGGGGCAAGCGUUGUCCGGAAUUAUUGGGCGUAAAGCGCGCGCAGGCGGUCCUUUAAGUCUGAUGUGAAAGCCCACGGCUCAACCGUGGAGGGUCAUUGGAAACUGGGGGACUUGAGUGCAGAAGAGGAAAGCGGAAUUCCACGUGUAGCGGUGAAAUGCGUAGAGAUGUGGAGGAACACCAGUGGCGAAGGCGGCUUUCUGGUCUGUAACUGACGCUGAGGCGCGAAAGCGUGGGGAGCAAACAGG
rnacentral:rRNA from 1 species